AGAGUUUGAUCAUGGUUCAGAUUGAACGCUGGCGGCAGGCCUAACACAUGCAAGUCGAACGGAAACAUUUCUAGCUUGCUAGAUGAUGUCGAGUGGCGGACGGGUGAGUAAUGCUGAGGAACAUUUGCCUUAGUGUGGGGGUUAACUAUUGGAAACGAUAGCUAAUACCGCAUAAUACCUACGGGUCAAAGGGGGCUUCGGCUCCCGCGCUAAGAGAAGCCCAGGUGAGAUUAGCUUGUUGGUGAGGUAAAGGCUCACCAAGGCGACGAUCUCUAGCUGUUCUGAGAGGAAGAUCAGCCACACUGGAACUGAGACACGGUCCAGACUCCUACGGGAGGCAGCAGUGGGGAAUAUUGCACAAUGGAGGAAACUCUGAUGCAGCCAUGCCGCGUGUGUGAAGAAGGCCUUCGGGUUGUAAAGCACUUUCAGAUUUGUGAGGAAAGGUUAGUAGUUAAUACCUGCAUUAGCUGUGACGUUAACAACAGAAGAAGCACCGGCUAACUCCGUGCCAGCAGCCGCGGUAAUACGGAGGGUGCGAGCGUUAAUCGGAAUUACUGGGCGUAAAGCGCACGCAGGCGGUCUGUUAAGCUAGAUGUGAAAGCCCCGCGCUCAACGUGGGAGGGUCAUUUAGAACUGGCAGACUAGAGUCUUGGAGAGGGGAGUGGAAUUCCAGGUGUAGCGGUGAAAUGCGUAGAGAUCUGGAGGAACAUCAAUGGCGAAGGCAACUCCCUGGCCAAAGACUGACGCUCAUGUGCGAAAGUGUGGGUAGCGAACAGGAUUAGAUACCCUGGUAGUCCACACCGUAAACGCUGUCUACUAGCUGUUUGUGGAUUUAAUCCGUGAGUAGCGAAGCUAACGCGAUAAGUAGACCGCCUGGGGAGUACGGCCGCAAGGUUAAAACUCAAAUGAAUUGACGGGGGCCCGCACAAGCGGUGGAGCAUGUGGUUUAAUUCGAUGCAACGCGAAGAACCUUACCUACUCUUGACAUACUAGAAACUUUUCAGAGAUGAAUUGGUGCCUUCGGGAAUCUAGAUACAGGUGCUGCAUGGCUGUCGUCAGCUCGUGUCGUGAGAUGUUGGGUUAAGUCCCGCAACGAGCGCAACCCUUGUCCUUAGUUACCAGCAUUAAGUUGGGUACUUUAAGGAGACUGCCGGUGACAAACCGGAGGAAGGUGGGGACGACGUCAAGUCAUCAUGGCCCUUACGAGUAGGGCUACACACGUGCUACAAUGGCGAGUACAAAGGGAUGCAAACUGGUGACAGUAAGCGGACCCCUUAAAGCUCGUCGUAGUCCGGAUUGGAGUUUGCAACUUGACUCCAUGAAGUCGGAAUCGCUAGUAAUGGUAGGUCAGCAUACUACGGUGAAUACGUUCCCGGGCCUUGUACACACCGCCCGUCACACCAUGGGAGUGGGAUGCAAAAGAAGUAGGUAGCUUAACCUUCGGGAUGGCGCUUACCCCUUUGUGUUUCAUGACUGGGGUGAAGUCGUAACAAGGUAGCCGUA
rnacentral:rRNA from 1 species